rnacentral:rRNA from 1 species
AGUGAACGCUGGCGGUAGGCCUAACACAUGCAAGUCGAACGGCAGCACAGUAAGAGCUUGCUCUUACGGGUGGCGAGUGGCGGACGGGUGAGGAAUACAUCGGAAUCUACUUUUUCGUGGGGGAUAACGUAGGGAAACUUACGCUAAUACCGCAUACGACCUACGGGUGAAAGCAGGGGAUCUUCGGACCUUGCGCGAUUGAAUGAGCCGAUGUCGGAUUAGCUAGUUGGCGGGGUAAAGGCCCACCAAGGCGACGAUCCGUAGCUGGUCUGAGAGGAUGAUCAGCCACACUGGAACUGAGACACGGUCCAGACUCCUACGGGAGGCAGCAGUGGGGAAUAUUGGACAAUGGGCGCAAGCCUGAUCCAGCCAUACCGCGUGGGUGAAGAAGGCCUUCGGGUUGUAAAGACCUUUUGUUGGGAAAGAAAAGCAGCAGGUUAAUACCCAGCUGUUCUGACGGUACCCAAAGAAUAAGCACCGGCUAACUUCGUG